rnacentral:misc_RNA from 1 species
CAACCCUCAAGCCCCCCAGGGGCCUGGUGUUGGGGACCGGCCGCCCGCCAGCGGCGGCCGCCCCCGAAAUGCAGUGGCGACCUCGCCGCAGCCUCCCCUGCGUAGUAGCACAACCUCGCACCGGAGCGCGGAGACGGUCACGCCGUUAAACGCCCAACUUUCAAGAG